UCCCAGGUGGCUUAGUGGUAAAGAAUUUGCCUGCCAAGCAGGAGACUGAUCCUUGGGUUUGAUCCCUGGGUA
rnacentral:tRNA from 1 species